AUUGAACGCUGGCGGCAGGCCUAACACAUGCAAGUCGAGCGGAUGAAGGGAGCUUGCUCCUGGAUUCAGCGGCGGACGGGUGAGUAAUGCCUAGGAAUCUGCCUGGUAGUGGGGGAUAACGUCCUGAAACGGGCGCUAAUACCGCAUACGUCCUUAGGGAGAAAGUGGGGGAUCUUCGGACCUCACGCUAUCAUAUGAGCCGAGGUCGGAUUAGCUAGUUGGUGGGGUAAAGGCCUACCAAGGCGACGAUGCGUAACUGGUCUGAGAGGAUGAUCAGUCACACUAGAACUGAGACACGGUACAGACUCCUACGGGAGGCAGCAGUGGGGAAUAUUGGACUAUGGGCGAAAGCCUGAUCCAGCCAUGCCGCGUGUGUGAAGAAGGUCUUCGGAUUGUAAAGCACUUUAAGUUGGGAGGAAGGGCAGUAAGUUAAUACCUUGCUGUUUUGACGUUACCAACAGAAUAAGCACCGGCUAACUUCGUG
rnacentral:rRNA from 1 species